rnacentral:lncRNA from 1 species
UUAAGUUUGAAGAGCAUAAUUAGUUUAGGAACAAAUCAGCUAAAAAUAUUCAUAGGUUAUUCAGCUCCUAUUCGAGAUAUUUGGACUAUUAUCUUAUAUUAGCAUUGGUAUUAUUAGGGUCUCAAAUCGAAAGAAAAGAAAUAUAAAAUCAGCUUAAAUUUAGGUAAAUGACCUUUUAUGACCUAGUGAAGUCUAAUAUGAAAAGCAUAGUGGGUUUAAGAUGGGGCAAACUUUUUUACCCUGUAUUGAAGGAAAAAAAACAAGGAGUUCAAACAUCUGACACAAAUUCUCAAACCUCACCUAAUUACAUCUUUAAAAAAUGUAUAUUUACCUAAACAAUGUUGUCAACUUCAUACAGGCAUAUUCACAUUGUCCAAUCAUUUUUAACAACAUUUGAUAAAACAGUUAAUUUCAUAGGGUUAUAAGAGAAUUGAUUUCUUCAAUUUAGCAGAUACAUAGAUAUUCUCUUUACUUAUAUAAAUACAUAAACAACAUUUUAAAAAUUGUGCUUAAAAUUAUCAUGAUAAAGAUAUUGACUUCAAAAAAAUGAAUGGCAAAAAAAAAUUUGCAAUUUAGCAUUGAUUCGUAAUUUUGUGAGAGAAUGAAUUACCUGAGUUUGCAAUUACAAAACAAACUCUACAUAUUUAUAUCUUUUUUUUAUAUAUAUAAUACAAAUGUUUAUCUUUUGUUAUAUGAAAACAUAUCAACAUUUGAAACCAUAGUGAUAUAAAAUCCAAAAAGUGAUAGGCAAGAAAAAAUUCUGCAAUAAGAAGUUGAUAUUCAGUAUACGUGGUAUAAGAUUUCGAAAUUUUGAACAGAUAGUUUCAGUACAAUAUUAUACCAAACAAUUUGUUGGAUGUCACUAAUCAGGAGCUUUUCUCCAAAUUUUUACCCAAUUUCAUAUUUCAUGUAGAGGAUAUUUCAUACUUUUGCGUUUUACCGUCAUCUUUUUUAUCUAUGCAAAACACAAUUACAAAAUUCAGGAGAAUUUUAUUCAAAUUAUUUUUAAGUUGGUACCAAACACCUUGACUAAAAUGAAUUUGGCUCAUUUAAUUUUCAAUUUGGAAAAAAUGUUUACUUUGACAUUUGGAAUUGAACCAACCACUAUCUCUUGAGAAAUAUCAUUGGAUAUAUAGCAGUUUGACAACACCCAAUUUUGAUCAUUUAGAAGCUUUUUAUAUUUCCUGACCAUUAGAACGUGAUUAAAACAUUCAGCUGAUUUUUAAUGAGUUAUCUCCCUGUAGACUGCAGGGGUAGUGUAAGGUACCACCUUAAGACUUCUUGCACAUGGUGUUUUGCUACGCUUAUUUCUAUUUGGUAGUUUUUUUUAUUUUAAUUAAUAAGCUUUUGUAUAUCGGAUCCAUCACAGAAGGAUUAACUCAGUUCCUCUAAGAGCUAAAUCGCCAUAAGAUUACUCUUUAUCGAUACAAUACAAAUACUACAAUCUAUAAGUUUGAGAUAUUCUAGAUUUGGGAGCAAGGAUUAAGCAACUUCAGUUUGUUUUUCUUCAUUUAUUAUUUCCCCAUUUGUAGAUAUUUAUAUUUUGUGUGUUUUUAUUUUCCAUUGUUAAGUUUUAUGUUGUUUUUGUUUUGUUUUUGGUGCUUAUUCACUAGAAACAAUCAGAACUUAUAUCAUGAUGAUAUUAAAACAAAAUAAAUUAAAUCUGUG